AACAAAUCUCCAGAAGUGGAUGAUCAAUAAGAAACUGUCCAGAGGAUAAGAACAGAAACAGCUAGUGGUCUGGAAAACAUAAUCUACCAGGGAAGAUUGGCAACCUCUUUAGCAGGGCCUGAGGCAAUGUACAAUAUUGCUGUGCCAUGAGUCUGGAUGUGGCUGACCCAGAGAGCCUCGCAGGAUACAAGAAUUCAACUGGGGGACACACAGGGGAGAGCAGGAAUGAUUUUUUUAACUGGAACCUGAGCCAAAUGUCAACAGAAUUUUGGUCCCAGGCCUACUUGAUCUUGUCCAUUUGGCACUGCUGGAGGAAUAACAAGUUUCUUCCCAUCAUGCACCUUUCUGGGAUACAUCAUGACAGAGAAAUCUCAAAGCCCAGGUCAAUUAUAACGGAAGAUGUGUAGCACCUCUGCCCCCACAGCGUCUUCUGGGGAUCCACUCAGCAAAAUGAUAUAAAACUAUUUCCGAAGACUUCCCAUGGUCUGGCACUACUUAGAACUAAGGAACUGGCAAAAUGUAAGGAAAUAUGCAUAUGCACCUCAGCUCACCUCCCCUCUGCCAUGAAGUCAACCAGCGUAUGUGCGGGGAGGAGCCUGAGGCUGGCAGAUUCCUCACCGUACAGUAAUUACUUUUUAAUUAGAAUUCAUUGAAUAAGAGAUAGAUACCUUCUGUACUUUCUCCCACUGAUGAUUUUAAUAUUCCCCUGUCAGGUAUUAUGAGGCAGUAGCUGACAGUGAGUUACAUGAAGUAAUCCUGUAGCUGGUAGCGACUUACAUAAAGUAACCAACUUAACCAUUUGUCUUAGAUAAAAUAUGAUCCCCAUCCUUACUUCUUUCCAUGGAGUCUGUCACUGGCGUGUUGAUGUAGUGUUUGUUUACUCUCAUUCCUGCAGGAGGAAAUAUCAUAGUUCAUGUAUCAAAUUACUGUAACUGACUGGAGCAUUUGUAUUUAAAAUAAUGUAUAGUGAUAUAUUUUCAUAGUGUCGUUGAUGUAUUUUCAGGACUUCUAAUUUUUGCAAGUAUAUAAUCUGAAUAUCAUUUAUCUGAGGGUGCAGUUGUAAAAUCUAUGGUAAUAUCUGAUCUCAUUAUAAAAAUCAGCACUUAAGAAUGGACUAGAGUAACUAAAUCUGAAACUGACUGGAUAUUUGUGGUAUUUUGAUAGAAAUAAGAAAAAAAGUCGGGUUUUUUUUCUUUUUGCUGCAGGGCCUCUAAACACAAUCUGACAUGUGAUGUAUUUUUGAAGUCAAAGUUAAUAAUUCUCUUUACAUAAAAAAUAAAUACCCCCUAUUGAAUACAUGCUCUAAAAUUAGAAUUGCAUAUUUCUAAGUAAUAUACCUAAGGAAAAUGAUUUAUUCUAAUACAAUAAUGGCAUAGAUUUACAAAGCUUGAGUGAUACAAUGUUUCUCGUUAUGGUUGUAAAAUAUUUGUUGCCACUGUGGGAUUUUCUAGAUCAUUAUUUUAAAAAAGGAAAAACCUACUUUGACAGAUGAACUGGGGCCAUUCUGAGCAAAUCACAGAUACUUCAUAUAACAAGGCCUCCAAAGAGGGGAGCACAGACUUAUUACUAUGGCAACCCAGAUCAAAACACUAUUUUAGUGGAGAGUUUCCAGUUUUACAAUGCAAUGAUGAUUGUUUAUAGUACUAUUGA